rnacentral:rRNA from 1 species
CAGUAGCCGCGGGAAUACGUAGGUGGCAAGCGUUGUCCGGAAUUAUUGGGCGUAAAGGGCUCGCAGGCGGUUUCUUAAGUCUGAUGUGAAAGCCCCCGGCUCAACCGGGGAGGGUCAUUGGAAACUGGGAAACUUGAGUGCAGAAGAGGAGAGUGGAAUUCCACGUGUAGCGGUGAAAUGCGUAGAGAUGUGGAGGAACACCAGUGGCGAAGGCGACUCUCUGGUCUGUAACUGACGCUGAGGAGCGAAAGCGUGGGGAGCGAACAGGAUUAGAUACCCCUGUAGUCCCUGUCUCUUAUAU